rnacentral:rRNA from 1 species
UACGGAGGGUGCAAGCGUUAUCCGGAAUCAUUGGGUUUAAAGGGUCCGUAGGCGGGCAUAUAAGUCAGUGGUGAAAGUCUGUGGCUCAACCAUAGAAUUGCCAUUGAUACUGUAUGUCUUGAAUUACCGUGAAGUGGUUGGAAUAAGUAGUGUAGCGGUGAAAUGCUUAGAUAUUACUUAGAACACCGAUUGCGAAGGCAGAUCACUAACGGUCGAUUGACGCUGAUGGACGAAAGCGUAGGUAGCGAACAGG